UACGAAGGGGGCUAGCGUUGCUCGGAAUCACUGGGCGUAAAGCGUACGUAGGCGGAUUGCUAAGUCAGGGGUGAAAUCCUGGAGCUCAACUCCAGAACUGCCUUUGAUACUGGCGACCUUGAGUCCGGGAGAGGUGAGUGAACUGCGAGUGUAGAGGUGAAAUUCGUAGAUAUUCGCAAGAACACCAGUGGCGAAGGCGGCUCACUGGCCCGGUACUGACGCUGAGGCACGAAGGCCAGGGGAGCAAACGGG
rnacentral:rRNA from 1 species